CUCUGAUGUGUUUCUCUUUGAUUCUUCCAGAGGCUCUGUCAGAGAGAACUCAGCUGCCAUGGGAAGUGGGCUACAGCCUUCACAGGACAUACAUGCUAAAAUACCAGAGUGGAAUGUUGUCCUGGUGUUUGAUAGGAUUCUCAGCCUUAGCCAAGUUUGGACUCUUGAAUAUUUGAAAGGACCAGAGGGUGGCAGACUGGAGCCACUUACUGUGGCUGCUCUUGAAAGGAAUCUAGCCUUCAUGCAAAAACACUGGCCUGGCCAUGGAGAGAGUUUGAAAACCAGUAAACCACUCAUCACACCUCUGUCAGGUCCCCCCCCCCCAAAACAUCUGGC